CAUGCUUUCAAUCACACAUAUGAUUGGAGAUGAGUGUUAUUGACACAUGGAAGAGUCACUUUAGGUCUUUUGUUGUAUCCUGGGGUUUCCUGCCAGGCUCCCACCAGUGAUGAGAAUGUACUUUUAUUCAAAGUGCAGACUGCAUGUCUGAAGCAACCAUAUCUCUGCCCCAGAUACCACAUUUUCUUUAUUAAUUCAUUCAUCAAUGGACAUUUGAAGAAGGAAAUCCUACCACAUGUGACAAAAAUGAAUGAAUCUGGAGGACAUUGUGCUAAAUGAACAAGCCAGUCACAGAAGAAAAAUAUCUCAUGAUUCAACAUCUAUAAGUGAAACAAGGAAAAUUUUCAAUCAAGGUUGAGAUGUUAAAAUUUCACCAUUCCACGCCAGAUAAUCCAAAUGGGAAAACCUAUAAAGUGUGGUUGACCACACAAAACAUAACAACGAGAAAAGAAGAGCUCAAGAAACAAAUAGGAUCUGUGAACAAACUGUUACUCCAGCAAACAUGGAAACAAAUAAAUACAAAUAGGCACCACUGCUCUGGAAGGAUCUGAAUCAACAAGCAGAGUUGAGGGAAAUGUCGUAUAAUUUAAACCACUAAACCAAUUGUCGAAGAGUGAAAAUAAAACUCUGUGUGUGUGUGUGUGUGUGUAAGAUCAUACAUUAAUAUGUGCAAAUCAAAAUUGGCCUGUUUUGCUAUCGAGCUUGUAAUUUUCAUUUUAUCCUCAAAGUAUAAAAAGAACCAUAGAUACUAUAUGUAAUGGCUAACAUUGGACAGUAUGUUUUAUUUACUUAUUCAAACAGAAAAUGCUGAA